rnacentral:lncRNA from 1 species
AUUUCAUCAUCAUAGCUCUUAAUUUAUUCCACUUAUUAUUUUACUCUCCAACCCUUUUGUUUUUUUUUUUUUUUUUUGUGCAUAUUGAAUAGAAAUUAGAAAUAUAAGGUAUUCAUAAAAAUAAGGGAUAAAUUGCAGUUUGGUUCUCAAACUUUAAUUUUUUAUAAUUGUUUGGCUCAAACUUUUAAAAUUAUUACAAUUAAGUCCCACAAUUCAAUUU